rnacentral:hammerhead_ribozyme from 1 species
AUCCAACUGACGUGUCCCGAAUAGGACGAAAUGCGCGUCCUGGAU